AGACCCCUGGCUGGGAGGUAUCUCGGGAUCACGAAGGCGGGACCUCCGUGGUGAGGUUUGGCCAUUGAACUUUCGGUCAGGCUGACCCAUGUGGCAGUCCCAUGUUGGGAUUGGCCAGCAGCAUAAUUUUUACGC
rnacentral:snRNA from 1 species